AUCCAUCCCUUCCGAGCAGGAGAUUGUGAACGUGGAGAGAGUCGAAGCUGCAACCUGCGUGGGAAGGACUGUUCCGAGUGCUCCCGGUUACUGAGACGGCAGGAAGAAGGGCUGAGAAAGGGUGGACUCGUACCCGGGUAAAAGCAUCAGUUAGACCUGAUACCGGGGAGACUGCAUUAACAGAGACUUUUCAGGGAUGAAUUCGUCAGGAAAGACGAGCGUGAAAUCCGAGGGCUGUGGACAGCCAUCUACCAGACAGGAGAAAAGCUCUUUCCGGAGAGAUGGCGAAGGAAUUAAUUAUACCUCUGCCUCAUCCUGUGAGACCAGAAGACCUGGAGUCACUGUAAGCUGCGAUUCUCGGGAGACA